UGGGGAAUAUUGGACAAUGGGCGCAAGCCUGAUCCAGCCAUGCCGCGUGAGUGAUGACGGCCUUAGGGUUGUAAAGCUCUUUCGUCCGGGACGAUAAUGACGGUACCGGAAGAAGAAGCCCCGGCUAACUUCGUGCCAGCAGCCGCGGUAAUACGAAGGGGGCUAGCGUUGUUCGGAAUCACUGGGCGUAAAGGGCGCGUAGGCGGCUUUAUAAGUCGGGGGUGAAAGCCUGUGGCUCAACCACAGAAUUGCCUUCGAUACUGUAGGGCUCGAGACCGGAAGAGGUUAGUGGAACUGCGAGUGUAGAGGUGAAAUUCGUAGAUAUUCGCAAGAACACCAGUGGCGAAGGCGGCUCACUGGCCUGGUAUUGACGCUGAGGUGCGAAAGCGUGGGGAGCAAACA
rnacentral:rRNA from 1 species